rnacentral:misc_RNA from 1 species
UAUUAAGCGAGUGAUAUUAAGCCAGCAAACAAAAUCUGACAUUACAUUGGAACGGAAAUACUCUUGUAUUUACAACUCCAAAACACACGUCCUGCGUUUUAAUUUAGGUACACUUCUGUACUCCAGGCUAGUAUUAAAUCUCCAGGUAGCAACCUGCUUGAACAUGACCAGAGUACUGCUCAAUUGUUUCCAUUUUUGUCCACCUGUACUCCUUCAAAUCCAACACAUGUGCCACGUGGGGCUCACCAAAUCCUGCAGACCCAAUCACUAAUAACUUGCCUUGCCAUGUUCCCACAUAAGCAAUGUUGCACAUAUCACUUGGAAGCUUGGAAACUGCUUGCCACAUGGUGCCUUUCAAUGCCAACACAUUACCUCCAUGACACAUGUAUAGCGCAUCAUCACCACUUGUACAUGUUCUAGGACAAAUGGCAGCUUCUAAGAAACUCUCUUGAAUAUGACUCCAUUUCCACGCGGCGACAUCAAACACCUCAGCAUCUCUCUCGAAUCUGCCUUGCAUUUCAGUGCAAUAUCCUCCAAUAACCUGGAGCUUGCCACCAUGGAAAACUGCCUUACACUCGUCUCGUUCUCUUGCCAUGUCAGGCAGUGGAUUCCAGUCAUCUUUUGCCACGUCAUAUGCCAGUCCAGAUCUCAGUGCAUUUUUCUCACCAUCAUGUCCACCAACGACAAACACCGUCCGAUCAGAAUCAGAUGCACACCCGAAAAAAGAUCGCCGAACACCUGGCAUAUCCGACCCACGACGCCACGUAGCCGAAACAAAAUUGAAAACAAAAACUGAAGGGGAAACUUCCCAAGUCACCGGAUCCAGCCCACCCAAAACAACAAUAUCAGACCCAACACUCAUCACCUGGCAAAACAACGGCAAGCAAUCGGAAAACCCAGGAAUUGGAGGCAAUUCACACCAAUCACCAGUAUCCAGCUCAAGAAGAGUAAGGCGAUAAACCGGGGUAAUCCGAUAUUUCACAACCUUGGAACCUUCCUUUGGUUCAACUCGAGCUUGAGCCAUAACAACAAGCUUCUGAAUAUUACGAGUAUCUUUCCUGCGCCGGUGAAAUUCCGGCAACUCAAGCUGAGUUCUCCAGCCUUUGCAGACCGAUACAACGGUGGAGAACUGCUUGUACAUGACACGAACAAGACAAUCACGAGCGACAUCAUCAGGGAGACCAGGAAUCAGCUCCAUGGAAAAAAAAAAGAGAAAGAAAUAAUUGAUUUUGAAUCGAGAUUCAGGGAGAUCGUUUUAAAGAAGGGUUUAUGGAAAGCAGAGAUUUCAGGGGUUUUCUUUAUAUAGAGAGAGAACAGUUACAGACUGUUAUUGAAGAUAAGCUUUGUUAAUGGUGGGGUUCUGGAAACCUG